CCCGCUCACUGCAAGCUCCCUGUAUCAAGUAAGUUUGAAGUACUCAGCAAGAGAUCAGACUUCGGUUGGCUGAGAUUUGAAAUGGUGGAGACUCUGGUUGCCAUACACAGGCCAGAAAGACAACUUUAAGAAGAGCGAAGAGGAGGAAGAGGACGAAGGCCCGUUUGAAGUUGGCGUCUGGCCCAAAAUCAGUGGGCACACCUGGCGGCCAAAUUGGUGGUGUUGUCCUCUGUCCUGAAAUGUGUCAGCGUGGUCACAUGGACAUGGACCCGAUGAACCUGCAGAAAGAGAGGGCGACUCCAAUUCAAAUGAUAAAAGUAAAAACGAC